rnacentral:rRNA from 1 species
CACGUAGGCACCAAGCGUUGUCCGGAUUUAUUGGGCGUAAAGAGCUCGUAGGCGGUUCGGUAAGUCGGGUGUGAAAACUUUGGGCUCAACCCAAAGACUGCACCCGAUACUGCUGUGACUUGAGUCCGGUAGGGGAGUGGGGAAUUCCUGGUGUAGCGGUGGAAGUGCGCAGAUAUCAGGAGGAACACCGGUGGCGAAGGCGCCACUCUGGGCCGGUACUGACGCUGAGGAGCGAAAGCGUGGGGAGCGAACAGG